rnacentral:rRNA from 1 species
UACGGAGGGUGCGAGCGUUAUCCGGAUUCACUGGGUUUAAAGGGUGCGUAGGUGGGUUUUGUAAGUCAGUGGUGAAAUCUCCGGGCUUAACCUGGAAACUGCCAUUGAUACUACAGGUCUUGAAUUUUCUGGAGGUAAGCGGAAUAUGUCAUGUAGCGGUGAAAUGCUUAGAUAUGACAUAGAACACCAAUUGCGAAGGCAGCUUGCUACAGGAAUAUUGACACUGAGGCACGAAAGCGUGGGGAUCAAACAGG